ensembl:rRNA 5S_rRNA 5S ribosomal RNA
GUCUACAGCCAUACCACCCUGAACAUGCCCAAUUUCAUCUGAUCUCAGAAACUUAAGCAGGGUCAGGCCUUGUUAGUACUUGGAUGGAAGACCUCCUGGGAAUACUAGGUGCUAUAGGCU